rnacentral:rRNA from 1 species
UACGUAGGGUGCGAGCGUUGUCCGGAAUUAUUGGGCGUAAAGAGCUUGUAGGCGGUUUGUCGCGUCUGCUGUGAAAAUCCGGGGCUCAACCCCGGACGUGCAGUGGGUACGGGCAGGCUAGAGUGUGGUAGGGGAGACUGGAAUUCCUGGUGUAGCGGUGAAAUGCGCAGAUAUCAGGAGGAACACCGAUGGCGAAGGCAGGUCUCUGGGCCACUACUGACGCUGAGAAGCGAAAGCAUGGGGAGCGAACAGG